AUGCCUUUAUAUUUUUAUACCUUACUUAUAAUUUUGUUUCUUUUUAACUCACCCAGCCCCCACUUCCCGUUAGAUUCACCAGAGGUUUUCAUGGUCUUUUCAAAGAACAGACACGCUCACGGCUCAAUACAGGCAAAACCAGGCCACAGCUCACCCUGCCAGGAGAAUCCACACCUACAGAGGGGAUGCCGCCCUCCAGCAGCCCUAAAAGAAAUUUCUUUCAAGAAACUUGGCUUCAUACCCGUGCCAAAGCACUAUGAAGAGAGGUCCUCUUUCGUUCCGUUCAGUGCAGCAGUUGAAAAAGGAAAGGGAGACCUUCCAUCCCUGAGCCCAGAAGGCCCAGAAAAGUCAGAAGGUAAACCUAAAGUACAGAAGAUUCCCAAAAGACUCAUUUAUGGUAUUCUUCCUUGAUUUUCUACAAGUUCCCAAGGCUGAGGUGGAAUGUGGAGGAGUGAGGGCCUGAAGUCUCUGUGGCCCUGAAAGGUAUGCUAAUCAGUGUGGGCCAAGGAAAUAUGCUGCUAUUCCAGUGAGAAUAUGAAUCUUCAGCGUCUCGUACCCUGAGGGCUCUAUGAACCCCAUCCACUGCUUGUGGCUUAUCCUCCCUUAGCCCAGGCCAGGGACUUCUGGGGUCAUCCAGCAGGGCCACUACAAUACAAUGUGGAUCUUGAGAAGCCUGGAAAGGGCUGGUCUUCUGGUGAGCUCUGGAAGUGGCUCCAGUAGGACCUGGUUACAGCUCAUCCACAGGUAUGGCCUUCAGAAAGCUUGAGGAAAAGGCUCUAGUGGAGAACAGAGGUGGGUUCUCUGCUGUUCAGGAGGUAAAGGUGACUCCCCACCUCAUAUGAUAUUGUUAGCUAAUACUGAUUGGGGACUUGUCCAUCCCUUG
rnacentral:lncRNA from 1 species